GACGAACGCUGGCGGCGUGCCUAAUACAUGCAAGUCGAGCGAUGAAGAUUGGUGCUUGCACCAAUUUGAAGAGCAGCGAACGGGUGAGUAACGCGUGGGGAAUCUGCCUUUGAGCGGGGGACAACAUUUGGAAACGAAUGCUAAUACCGCAUAACAACUUGAAACAUAAGUUUUAAGUUUGAAAGAUGCAAUUGCAUCACUCAAACAUGAUCCCGCGUUGUAUUUGCUAGUGGGUGAGGUAAAGGCUCACCAAGGCGAUGAUACAUAGCCGGGCUGAGAAGGUGGUCGGCCACAUUGGGAAUUGGGACCCGCCCCAGACCCCUCGGGGGGCCGCCGUAGGGGAUCUUCGGCCAUUGGCGGAAGUCUGACCGAGCAACGCCGCGUUGGUGGAGGAGGUUUUCGGAUCGUUAAACUCUGUUUGUAGGGGAGAACGUUGGCGGGAGUGGAAAGCUCAUCAAGUGACGGUAACUACCCAGAAAGGGACGGCUAACUACGUG
rnacentral:rRNA from 1 species